GUUGAACGCUGGCGGCAUGCCUUACACAUGCAAGUCGAACGGUAACAGGUCUUCGGAUGCUGACGAGUGGCGAACGGGUGAGUAAUACAUCGGAACGUGCCUAGUAGUGGGGGAUAACUACUCGAAAGAGUGGCUAAUACCGCAUGAGAUCUACGGAUGAAAGCAGGGGAUCGCAAGACCUUGUGCUACUAGAGCGGCCGAGGGCAGAUUAGGUAGUUGGUGGGAUAAAAGCUUACCAAGCCGACGAUCUGUAGCUGGUCUGAGAGGACGAUCAGCCACACUGGGACUGAGACACGGCCCAGACUCCUACGGGAGGCAGGAGUUGGGUAUUUUGGACGAUGGGCGCAAGCCUGAUCCAGCAAUGCCGCGUGCAGGAUGGAGUCCUUCGGGUUGUAAACUGAUUUUGUACGGAACGAAAAACUCUGGGUUAAUACCCUGGGGUCAUGACGGUACCGUAAGAAUAAGCACCGGCUAACUACGUGCCAGCCGCCGCGGUAAGAC
rnacentral:rRNA from 1 species